rnacentral:rRNA from 1 species
AACGUAGGAGGCGAGCGUUAUCCGGAUUUACUGGGUGUAAAGCGCGUGCAGGCGGUUCGCCAAGUUGGGUGUGAAAGCUCCUGGCUCAACUGGGAGAGGUCGCUCAAGACUGACGAACUGGAGAGCAGUAGGGGAAGGUGGAAUUCCGGGUGUAGUGGUGAAAUGCGUAGAUAUCCGGAGGAACACCAGUGGCGAAGGCGGCCUUCUGGACUGCAUCUGACGCUCAGACGCGAAAGCUAGGGGAG